rnacentral:rRNA from 1 species
AUACGUAGGUGACAAGCGUUAUCCGGAAUUACUGGGCGUAAAGAGCUCGUAGGUGGUUUGUCGCGUCGUCUGUGAAAUUCCGGGGCUUAACUCCGGGCGUGCAGGCGAUACGGGCAUAACUUGAGUACUGUAGGGGAGACUGGAAUUCCUGGUGUAGCGGUGAAAUGCGCAGAUAUCAGGAGGAACACCGGUGGCGAAGGCGGGUCUCUGGGCAGUAACUGACGCUGAGGAGCGAAAGCAUGGGUAGCGAACAGGAUUAGAUACCCUGGUAGUCCAUGCCGUAAACGGUGGGCGCUAGGUGUAGGGGUCUUCCACGACUUCUGUGCCGUAGCUAACGCAUUAAGCGCCCCGCCUGGGGAGUACGGCCGCAAGGCUAAAACUCAAAGGAAUUGACGGGG